AAGAAAUCAUCGGAUAAGGCCUCGAGAUUUCUUCAAACGAUGAAAAUUAGCUUUCACCGAGUACAGUGAAUCAACUCGGGCAAGCAUAACCUAGCAAACUAUCAUUCUAGUUCGCAAAACUAGGAUUUUUGUAUAACACUGCUAUUUCCUACUAAAGUUGCGCAUGAAACCCAAAACAAGCCAGCUGAUCUUUCCUCAUUGCACACCCCAACGUAUUCAUACAAGCACACAGACAUGCACCCCUAUUCACACGCGCAAGAGAUUAUGAGCUCAAAGAGAGAGGGAGAUUACGUAAUACAAUCAAUCGCUAUUUACAUUUGCAAGAUUUUAGGAGUUAGUGUGGAUGACCAAAUCCAGAUCCACCGCGGCCUCCUUCUCAGCUCCCUCGAUCGCGUCGCUGGUUGGGGAGGCCGUCCUCCGGAACACCAAGAGAGCAUCUUCUCUGCCGUUGGGCUUCCGCUCGCUUGUGAUUUGCUGUCCUCACCGUCUCUAUAACACGUUCUGCAUCCGGAAAUGGCAAGCGGGGACUCCGACGUCACCCGCAGAGCUUGGGACGCGGUUCGCCUUGCGCUGCUGUGGCCGAGGAGAGGCGGGGCGUUCAGGCGGCUCCUCGCGGUCAAGUUCCGUCUCGCCGUGGCUGGAUUCGUCAAGAGCAUCGGUGGCGGUUGCGGCUACCACAGCUCGAUGCCCAUCCGUUACGGGGAGCGCGAGCUCUCGUUCGACAAGACCCUGGUCUUCCACGUCAAGAUGCACCGACCCGGAGCAUCCACGAGGUCCCGCUUCCGCCUCCCUCGCAUCCCCUGCAUCAGCGACAAGGACGGCCACUGGGAGAGGAAGAGCCCGGUCGCCGUUGAAGACGGAGGAGAAUGUAGAUGCGGAGGUGGCGGACGAGGCGGAUGCGUAAGUGCGGCGGCGUGGUUUGUCGGACGGCGGGCUCCGUCGUUCGCCGGAGGAGCAACGCGACGAAGGGGCAGAACGAACGAGAAAAUAUUAGCUGUAGCUCAGAUGCAGCGGCAGCCGACGAGGUGGAUGCGGAAGCGGGGGCGGUGGCGUGAUUCGUCGGACGGCGGCUCCGUCGUCCGAUCGGAGAAGAAGCGGAGGGCAGAGCAACCGGGCGCGAGUCAAACGAAAAUAUGGAGAGAGAGAAUUUGUAAGAGAGAAGGAUUGCUUUUAUUUUCUUAGGAGGAGAGAGAGAGAGCGCCGAAUUUUUCAAAUUUUCCGAGAGGGAAAAGUUUCUGGUGGGCCCAGAAUAGCUCGUUGAAAGGUCAGGAGAAGGCUAGUGUAGGCUAGUGAGAGAAAAAAGAAAAAGAAAAAUGCAAAAGACAGCAAGCGGGCCACGCUUCCACGUGGCGCCACCCUGAGUGGUCCGGGACCACGCUGAUGUGGAGGUCCCGGACCACCCAAUAUUUUCUCGAUUCUGCAUAUUCAACUUCCGUAAGGAUGUCAGAUUCCCUGCCAGUUAGUCUCUCCAGCUUUUGAUGAAGGUUAUCCAUCUUCCCACGAACACUAGCGGAAGUGUAAGGACUGACCAUUUGAACCGCGGCUAACACCGUGUCCAUUCCUGCAACCUGAAAGGACAAAUUUACCCAAAACCUUUAAAGAGAGAUUCUCGAUCAGAUUGCCUUUUUGAAUGCGAUCUUUCUAUUGAGAUCAUAUCUACCGCACCCAACCAAACAUGUCUUUUUUUUACCAAACUACGGUUUGCAUGCCAUUUUUUUUUGGGAUUAAGAUAUAAAUAAUCCUUAAACUUUCAAUUUACUUAAUAUGACCCAUGAAUUUUAGCUUAGUAUUCAAUAUUGUCCUUAAACUUUUAAUUUAUUUAAUAUAAUAUCUGGACUUUUGAUAUAUGUUCUAUGUAGUUCAUGAAUUUCAAAAUAGUCAUUUCAUUAUAUUUGUAUAUUCAAUGAACUAAAUUGAACAAAUUAAAAAUUCAGAAUCGUGUUAAAUAAAUUAAAAGUUUGGUAAUUAUUAUGUUUCGGAAAUAAGUUUUGCUAACAAAUGGUUUUUUCUUAUUCUUUUCUCUAGAUGAAUUUUUGAGCAUUUGAAGGCGCUUAUUAAGUGUCCAAAAUUUAUAUUCCCCAAAUAAAAGUACGUUCGAUAUGAUUCUCAAAAAAAUUUUGACUUAUAAUUUCUUUUAUUUUUUAAUAAUUUUAUUAUAUAUUUUUACUUCUUCUUCGAUCACUAACCUCUACCAUAACUAGUGAUUAGCCAGACGAGGCCCAACGACCUCGUUGGAGCGUUGUCGGUCCUUAGAGAGGUCGUCAACCCGUGCCUUGCCAUCGCUGGGCAAGGUUAGGCUUGCCCAGAUCUUGCAAGGCCAAUCUUGCUCCAGCUGCUUGCCAUCACCAAGGGUGGCAACUCGCAAAAGGAAGAAAAAAAGAAAAAAGAAAAAAAAGGAAGUUGUUUUGAUUUUGAAGUUAUUUUCGAGAGAGAAAAAAGAGCAGCUUUUUUCUUAAUUCUAUUCUAAACCUAUUUUCUUAAAUAAAAAGUUACCUAAUAAAUUUAUGUUCUAAUCUUAUAUGUCAAAAAACUCGAACAACUCCGGUAGAUCAAGAAUACAAGGACAAAUCAACUCUGUCUAUAAGUUUAUGACGCUACUAGAAGGCAAACGCACCCAGCCUUCGCUCAUUGAUUCACAUUUCAUGCGUGCGAAAGGAAAUGGGCUUUAGCUAUCUAAAGAGAGAAACGACGAGCGUACCUGGAGCCAACCGCACCAGUGCUUGUGGAAGAACUUCCGAAGAACUGGAUGCAAAGAGAGAAGACAGACGGUGAUUCUGCUACUCAAAUUCAAUAGAGAGAGCGAAUGACUGGUGUAGGUUUGCGGAGAAGGGGAAACUGCUUUAUGGCCUCGGAGGACUUGAAAAAACAGAGCAUUGACUUCAAGUCAACCAACACAGUUGUCCCUGAUCAUUUUUCUCGCCAGAAAGGAAGGAAAGCACCGGGAAGGAUAGACAAUGGGGCCUAAGAAAGUAGAAAGUAGCAGUCAGACGCGACAAAUUCUCUUUAAUGAAAAUGAUUUUUAAAUAAACAAUUAAGAAACUCUUAAUUUGUCAUUUGACAAAAAAAAAUUGACGUAGAUUGUAUUUAAAUUUGGUUGAAUAUACAACAUCAUCCGUAAAUUUUUAACUUGUUCAAUAUCAUCUUUUUGUUUGUUUAGAUGACAAAUCAUAUACUAUUUGAAAACGUAGAUAUUUUUACUAGUUAACAUGUCCAUCUUUGUAUCUAUCUACUUUAAAAAAAGAAACAAAAUUUAGUAACUUCGAGAAAUGAGCUCAAACAAUGUUGGUGCAGGUUGCUUAACUUAGUGUGAUAAUUAUUGGAAUAGUCAGUAAUUUAAGACAAUCAAUUAAUUGUUUUUAUUUUGUCAAAAAGUAUUAGUAACUUACUACCAUGUUGUGUUAUUGACAUAACAAGUUAUCGGUAAAAUUUUUAUUUAACGAGGAGUUUUGACGAUUACGAAAUCUUUUCAUACUUUGCUAGCAUGGAAUAGUCAUCUGAUUUUUGCCCUAUUCAAUAGUAGAAUUGAACAAUAGUCCAAGUACAUUUGUUUUAUGAAAAAUAAAUGAUUUGAAAAAUAUUUUUCUAAAAUUAAUCAUUUAUAUCGCUUCUAAAAAUAAACAAACUUAAAGUAUUUUCAUUGUCCGCCAAAAUAACUAGCCAUUAGAUUCUUUGCGGUGCUACUGUUUAGUAGGCGGACUGCCUACACAGUCCUUCCCUGUGAACAUUAGCAGGCUAAUUAGCAGGCUUUUCCCGAAAUAAGUUCUGCAAGUGCUGUCUUGUCGCUGAUAGCUUCUGACAUUAGUGACAACAAAUAUUUUUGGCUCUCUGACAACUUCCAAUUCUUCCGCUGUGCGUCUUCCAGCUUCAAACAAGUAUUAGACUUCUUCAAUGAACACCCUCAAAUGGCUAUUGUACCAACAUCACCAAUGCCUUCACAUUCGCAACUUGAUAUAAACAUUAACAAUUGCUUAUCAUUUUGUUAGUUGGUCCUAUUUACAAACAGGACAAGAUACAAUUUCUAUUCUUCUCAAGUAUCACUUUUGCCCUUUAAUAAAUAUUCGGUAAUAUUUGCACUCAUCAUAAUAAAUAUUAUAUUAAGGAUAUUUUUAAAUUAUCAAAAAAAUUUAGGACGUUUCUCAAACAAUUUCACCAUUGUUUUUAUUCUUUACAAGGAACGUGAUCCUUUACAUUUCAAUUUGUUUAAUGUGAUCUAUAAACUUUUCGUAUAUACUUAAUUUAGUCCCCAUAAUAUAAUUUAAUGUGCAAUGUGAUCCAUGAACUUUUAAUUUAUUCAAUGUGAUUCAUAAAUUUUUGAUAUACGUUCAAUUUAAUCUCUAAAUUUAUGAAAAUAUUCAAUAUUGCCAUUGAACUUAAAUUAAUGAAAUGAAAAUAUGAAAUAUUUGUAUAUAAUUUGGAGAUUAAGUUGAACAGUUAUCUUAGGGAUUAUAUAGAACAAAUAAAAAAAAUCAAAGAUUACAGUACACAUUAAAUAAAAGUUCAAGAAUCAAAUUAAAUAAAUUAAAAUUUAUGGAUUAAAUUACAUAAUGGAUCAAGAUUUUUGAAUUAUUUGUGGCGGUACCCCUUCUUUACACGUGAUCACUAAACUUGUCUCAGCCCUCGCUGCCACGUGGGCCUUGCGCUCGUCGGCCAAGCCCGCGGGCCAUUUUCUCUUGCUAUCUCCCUUUAAAAUCCUCUCAACAUUCUCUUCGUUCUUUUAAUUCAUGAGUUCUUCAGUCCGUCAAUCCCUCCAUCUUCACACACACACAGAUGCCGUUCUCUCUCUAGUAGCUUAUUUAUCAGAUUGAAAAGUAAUUAUCUGCUUGUUCACGUCCAAAAAUAGGCAAAAAUGUUAGAAAAGUCUAAACCUAUUACAUUCACGUCACUUUAGUCUUAAUUAUUUUUUACUUAGUGCCAAUUUAGUAAUUCUAGUUAACUUUGGCCAAAUAUUACUGACGUAGAUAAUUUUUAAUAAUAUAUUAUUUUAUUUGAAUUUUUAUUUUUUACCUUUCCUUCCUUCUUCCUCUUUGGUUGCCGGACCUUGGCAAUUGACCAAAGAUGAGGGCCAAUGAGGUAUUGUUGGCCUUGGAUGAUCCUUACUAGCCAUUAGCGAGGCUCACCCAGUCCUUGGCGAGGCAUGACCUCGCCAAAUUCAAAGAAGUCGAGCCUCGUCAAGAUUAACCUUGCUGAUCCUCACUUGUGGUUGGUCACCGCGUAGAGGAAGAAGGAAGGGAAGGAAAAAAAAUAAAAGAAUUAAAUAGAAAUAAAAAAUUAAGAUAUUAUUAAAGUUAUCUACAUUAGCGUUGGUUGUAUCACAUAAGCGAACUUGCAUCUACUUCAGCAAUAUUCAACCAAAAUUAAUUGAAAUGAUUAAUUUGCAUAAUGUUAAAAUUUUAGGACUAAAUUGACACAAAUACGAUAAGUUCAAGACUAUUUUGAUGCUUUCUCGGGAAAAAUAAUUCAAGUUAUAAUGGAUCGAUGAGAGUUUGUGAUGCAUUGUCGACAAGACAACUACAGACCACUAUUACAAAUCAUCAACUAAGACAUUGACUGUUGUUGAUGGAAGAGAAUCGGUGAAGGCCAAAAAUCAACAUACGAGAACAUAUAUCUCAUUGAACAUGCCCGAUUAUUUGGAUAAUUUUCCUCUCCAACUCAGGCUCUCAAAGUCACAGCUGCAAAGCAACAAUCGACCUACCUUAUGAUUUCACUCGUUCGAUCAAACAUGCUCGAAUAUCUGUGUUUUUCAAAUGCACCCUGAAAAUGAUCUAUCUCCAUUGAACAAGCGACGCAACGUGAACCCAUAUCACGGGGUAUUAAUGUCUGACGCAAUACUCUCUCACGAGGAACCCCGCCAACUACCUGCGAAUAUGCUGGAGUCCAGUAAAUGCGUAAAAGAAAAGCACAAAAUCGAACGAUUAUGAAUAGCAGAGAAUAGCAAAGCGAACUCCUGUAUGUGGCUUCGGUAGGUGGCGGAGAAACAAUAUGACCGAGCAACCAAAGUCUCAUCAGCAAGCCCUGCACGUAAGGUCUAAGGAGCGACUUGUCCCUGAUAUGGUCCCUCUCCACCCGUUUCCAGUUUCCACCAGCCCAUGUCAUUGUACUUGAUCUCUGUCCGUCGGAGAUUAUGAGAUCCAGCGGAAAAAUGAUAAGAAGAUGGUGGUUCCCCAUCUCGAGGGAGGUAUACACAGAGCGGAAUCCUUUCCAUUUUGCGACACCCUUGAGUGUCGUAUGCCCAAGAGAAUCACAGACUAUUGUGCUGCUACAUAUGCUUUUUAGCGCGUGUAAAUCCCCGUGAUACUAAAGUUUUUAAGCUUUGGGAGAGUUAAAAGCAGAAGUUGUCUCGUUCCCUCUCGCUUCUAUGAGCUUCUCAACUUCGCUGCAGCAUUGCACAGAAAGUACCUCCAUGUUUGCGAGCAGGGGUGGCAGCACGUGCGUCACUGAUUUUGAGCAUUUUCAGACCCCAGAAGGUAUUAUCUUCGGAUAGCGCCCGUGGGAAUGCACUUGCACCAGCAAAGUUCUCUUCUACCUCCACCAGGAUACGGAGGUCCUCAAGUGGAUCUAGUCUUGGAAACUCGAGGCUUCAAAGAGGGGGUGUAUUUGUGUGGAGUAAAUCCUUGGACCGCGGAACCACUCACUCCAAGGAUUUAACUCUCCCAAUGAUGCAGGUCUUCAUGUCGGUUACCUGGUGAAAUGUUGGGAUGUCCAUUAGGCUUCUCAGGUCAUCCUCCAGAAACCUUUCAAUUAUCACUAAUUCAUGCCAUCCAUGAGCAAUGCCACUUAAUCUCACGAUUUUGCCAUAAUCUUCCAAGCCUUUUCUUAGAGCCUCAUCAUUAUGAACGCAUCCGUCUCAAGUCCCAUUUCUCUGGACCUUUUUCAUCAUUCAGAUAUGCCACGUACGGAUUAAAUUCAUUUCCAUCAGCCAAAUUUGCAAUUUAAAGCUUCCAAGUUUCUCAUGCUCAUUAUCUCCCUUCCUUCCGUAUACAAUUUUCUGUCAAGGUUGAGGUAUUGCAGAUGAGCAAGUUUUAGCAGAGCUCCAAGAGGCAGUUUCCUUAGUUCCGAACCAUUCAAAUCAAAACUUUUAGAUUUACCAAUCUCUCUAACCCUUCGGGUGCAUCCCGGAUUCCACUUUCACACAGAUCUAAAGUUCUUAACUCCUCUAUCUUGGCCCCAGACGGGACUAAUUCUAACUCCCUGCAGCCCUGGAGUAACAGUGCAAUGAGGUUCUUCAAGUUGGAUGUUGAACUUGGCAGAAACUUGAUUUUUGUCCAAGAUAGAUCAAGAACUUGGAGAGCAGGCAUGUUCUCGAGGAACGCAUCAAGGUAACGCCUUCCAGGAAGUGUUACUGCUCAAGCAUAGGAACUUGAGUCUAGGACACUUGGGCUCUAUCCCUUCUGGGAUGCCCUCAGUGAGAUUUCCCAUUAAGGAGACUCCCUCCAGAUUCUGUGUCCAUUUUACCUCUUUAGGUAUCUUUCUCAAAUGCAACCCGCUUUCACCAUAUAUCUAGAUCUCAUCGUGUUGAUUGCCAUGUCCCUGAGCAAGUCAUGCAUCUUCAAUUCCUCUAUUUCUUGUCCAGAGAUGCUUGUGCGUUUCGCACUUUCCAACAAGCAGACGUUAAGUAAUUUAUUCACCAAUGCAUGUCCCCUAUGGUACUCCACUUCCUGACUUCUGCUGUGUAUCAAUUGCAUAUCCAUGAAUAUUGGAUGAGCUCACUUCUUUCAAUCGUGUAAUCCUCAGGAUAUAAUGCCAUACGCAGGAAACACUGUUGUGCCAUCGCAUCAUUUAGUCAAGCAUAGCUAAAUUUCAGAACACCAAACACCUUUUGUAUGCAUCCUUCCGUGAAGUUUGCUUAUUUCAAUGCUUCUAAUGCAUUUCUCCACUCAUGGAUGUCCUCAGUUUUCUCAUGCUUUCAGAAACCACCACAAUCCCAGGAGGCAAACCUGUACACUCCUGUGCGAUGGACCUUGCUAUAUUUUCUACUUCAGGUGGGAAGACUUUUGUGCGCCGUAGAUUCUUCAUGAACAAGUGCCAAGCUUUAUUCUCAAGGAGAGUCUCUACUUUGACAGAAACUUGGCAUUCCAUCUGGUGACACACAUCUAGCUUCCUGGUUGUCAUGAUCAGUUUACAGCCGUUCUUGUCUAGCAGAAGUCCCACCUCCUUUGGAUCACACAUAUUCCAUAUAUCAUCCGAGAUGAGAACAAUUUUUUUUCCCCUCAGGAAGUUCAAUAAUAUUGCAGCUCGAUGGACCCUAUCAUCCACAUUUGACAGAUCAAGAUUCAGACAUUUUGCAAUCUUGUAUUUUUGGGAGACAACCACCAAACUGACCAUCUGAUUAGUGUUAUGCGCCUUCAAAAGCUUAUAUUGUAGAUGUGUUAUCAGAGUGGUCUUCCCAACACCUCUCAUACCAAAAACUCCAAUUCUCCACACAUAAUCAUUCAUCAGGUAAGAUCAUAUCUUUUGCAGAUUUUGUCUAAAAGAAUUCACUGACUAAUUCCUUUGUCGGCAGUUCAUUUCCCCUGACAUAAUUUCGUGUGACUCCGCCACUAAAUUCACCUUGCUUUCUAAGUUCCUUCACCUCUUUGAUCAAUUGAUUUAUACGAUUUACCAAGUUGAUCGAUGAAGUGAUUCUUGAGAGAAGUCCCGCAUUUGCAACUUCCCAUUCUAAGCUUGAGAAUUCAUCCUUUUUCCUUCGUACAUUGGUCAGCCAAUUCUCAACAUCUUUCUUCCAAGAGUUGACUUGGCAUGUUCCACUUCCACGAUUAUGUUUCCUCCUUGCUAACAAGACUCUAGAGCUCGCUUUCAAGGAUGUGCAUCUUGCCACUGAGAUCACCAGAAUUGCUGAUGCGACUUCAGAUGAUCUGAAGAUUAUGACCAAAUUCUGCUGCUGCAUUGAUGUAGUGUUGCAUCCUAUUACCUGAAAGAGGACAAGUUUAGCAGUCCAAAGUGGAAGGGAAAUUAUAUCUAUAGUUGAUUUCGAUGCCAUUCCGUCGUUGCUAUCAACUCUAUACAUUUUACUAAGCCAAAAAACGACCAAUAUUGAUUGGGAUAACAAUUCCAUCCUCCUAUAGAGUUUAGUUGAAGCUCAUGUACAUGCUGCACCUCCAUUGUAUCUGUUAAAGAUACGCAAUGAGAUCUUAUUUUACCAGCCAAGAGAACAUAAAAGCAAGCGAUGGUCUACGUCACUAGUGGUGCACCACUUUGGGAAGAUAGUUAAACAACUUGAGCUAAAACGAGUCACAGCUAAAUCUGAUUUGCUGUCUGACAAUAAGGAGAUUAUUAUGGACAAGUCUAANNNNNNNNNNNNNNNNNNNNNNNNNNNNNNNNNNNNNNNNNNNNNNNNNNNNNNNNNNNNNNNNNNNNNNNNNNNNNNNNNNNNNNNNNNNNNNNNNNNNNNNNNNNNNNNNNNNNNNNNNNNNNNNNNNNNNNNNNNNNNNNNNNNNNNNNNNNNNNNNNNNNNNNNNNNNNNNNNNNNNNNNNNNNNNNNNNNNNNNNNNNNNNNNNNNNNNNNNNNNNNNNNNNNNNNNNNNNNNNNNNNNNNNNNNNNNNNNNNNNNNNNNNNNNNNNNNNNNNNNNNNNNNNNNNNNNNNNNNNNNNNNNNNNNNNNNNNNNNNNNNNNNNNNNNNNNNNNNNNNNNNNNNNNNNNNNNNNNNNNNNNNNNNNNNNNNNNNNNNNNNNNNNNNNNNNNNNNNNNNNNNNNNNNNNNNNNNNNNNNNNNNNNNNNNNNNNNNNNNNNNNNNNNNNNNNNNNNNNNNNNNNNNNNNNNNNNNNNNNNNNNNNNNNNNNNNNNNNNNNNNNNNNNNUAAAAUUUUCUAAUAACGGUAAAGAGCAACUGCAUCCCAUUUUGGAUUUUUUUGCGAAGUAUUCUUUCGAAUUCAUGGGAAAUUUCCCAAUAAAUUAGACGAUCGUUUUACUUCUCAUUAUUGGCAAAGCCCACAUGCAAAAAUCAUAUCUCCAGACUAAAAUGCAAAUAGAUUUGGUGUGGUUCUUUACUCUAUAAUUUGAUGACAAAGUAAAACAUGCAAAUGAUAUUGGAGUUUAGAAAUCUAAAAAGGGAAUUACCGGUGUACCUCAAGCCAGGCUCACCGGUACUUGUCGCAGCCCUUGCCGCUAUGUGUGGAUCCGCCUUGCACGUGGCAGCCAGGGCCGUGGACCAUUUUCUCUUUCUAUUUCGCUUUAAAAUCCUCUUAACAAUCUCUUCAUUUUUUUUUAAUAUUAAAUUCAUGAGUUCUUCCAAUUUAUCAAUCUCUCUAUCUUUACACUCGCGCUUGCACAGAGACAGGCCCCUCUCUCUCUCUCUCUAAUAGCUUAUUUAUCAAUAUAUGGAAAGUAAUUCCGUAUUAAACAUUAUAUUGUGAUGGCUCUUAUCAUUAAUCUUGACUUCGUAUUUGACAUUUCAUCACCAUAUUUAACCCUAAACUUUUCUUUUCAUUUUGAAUUCCUCAUCAGUAAGGGGUCGGAAGAGCCUGAUGUGGGGUUGAUGUGAUUUGCAUAUGGCAAAAUCGUUUUACAGAAAACAUACAUAAUUUUAUUUCUUGCAGCCAACAUUAGGUAGAAAAGAUUCAAUAGCUUAAGGGAGCAUGACCAAGUUGGCACAGGGAAGUACUCAGUACAUGACCUAAAUUAUCAUUAAAGUACAUCAGAUUAGUGACCCAUUUUUAUGGCGACAAAAAUGAUUUUUUAGAGAGAUCAAAGGGAGGAAUCACUUUUGGAUCAUCAAAAAAUGUGAUUGUGAUGUCACAUUUUCUUUUGAUCGAGAUUAUUAAUUGACAAGGAAGUUGAUACUAUUGAUCUAAAGUCAUUUGCCUAGUUUUCAGGGAGAUCAAUUGGUGUGCGGAUAUCCACACAACCGUGUACGUAGGAAAGAUAUUCUUCGACGGGGGUUGGAGUUCAGCUGCACAGAGAGCAACCCAAUGUGUCGAAUCAACAAUGUUCAAUAAACCGACCUGCCUUAAUAACAGGGCAUUCGUCAGCAAUUUUUUUAUUUUUUAUUUUUUUAUUUGAGGACUAGUCUUAUCAUUGGGACAGUUCAUACUAAGGAUCCCGAUCAAUACCGUCGCAUGUUCCAGAGAAAACAGCGAUCUCAACCCUAGUAUCUGUUCCUCCCAUGGCACGACAACCUGUGCGAGAUGCUCUGGCGAGUGGUCUAAUUAGGUACCCGCGCGAGUUCUUCCGCAAUCAAAGGCGGAAUCACAAGGAUGUACUCUUGUGCGUAAAUAGACAUGUAACCUGGAAUAAAUUUACAGUAGCCAAGGACGACUCCUCUUGAUCCUUUACUUCUUUGACACACCUAUCCAUAGCAAAGAGGACAAAAUCGUGCCUGCUCGGGGUGCAUGAGAUCGCAGCUAUCUAAGUGCGGUUGUGCAGUUGUGCUCGUUGCACUCAGAAAAUGCUACCAUGGAUCGACAAAAAAAAAUGAUGCAACCCCAAAAUAGGUAAAGUUCACAUGCGGUUGAGCUACGUGGCACGAUCACACUUGAACUUCACUCACUUUCAUUAAUAUAUAUAGAUACGGACAAGAUAUGUAUUCACUAGUGUAUCGUAUGCGCCAUACAUGAGUUGGACAGUAUCACAUCCCUUGGAUCAUGCGUGUCCUACAUGACCCGCACAAUUUAACAAUCCAACAGUUGCGGUGAAGUGCGUGCAUAAUGUACCUACAUCACCGAAGAAAAACCCAAUUCUCUUGCACUACUCGUCUCUGACUCACGGGUCAAGCAAGGACUUGGAAAGGGGAUGGUUCCACAUCACCGCUGAUUCCCACUCACCUAUUUGAAUCUUAAGUUCUUGUAGACAAUUAGAAGGAGGUUCCCCAUCUCGAGGGAGUUGCACAAGGAGAGAGGUGCAUGCUAGCUUCGGACAAUUGAUUAGGGAUACUCUUUGGAGAGAAGGACAGCUUAUUGUCGCCCUGCAUAUGCUUUUUAGUGCAGGAAGACGCCAUAACCGUAAGGUCUUCAUCUUAUUGAGGGAUGGAGGGGAAGCGAGAUGAACAUGAUUGGCCUCACUCCUCGUAUAGCUCCCACUGGUUUCCCCCUCGCCCUGACACUCAAUAUCUACUUCCGUCAUUUCUAUGACCUCCUCCAUUUGAUCACAGCCUACGAUAAGAAGCUUCUCCAGGUUUGCAAGGAGGGGUAGCAACACAUGCGUCAGGAGCCUCUUCAUUUUCUUACAAUCAGAGAUUUCGAGUCCCUUGAGACCCCAAAACUUGUUACCUUCAUGUAGCACUCCUGGGACUGCAGGCGUAGCAGCACAGAGUUCUUUCUCAGCUAGCGCACGUAGAUCCUUCAUGCCUAUGAGUUCUAGAAACUCUAGGCUUGGAAGAAAAGAAGAUGAGGAUUGCGACACUGACACCACAUACUUCAUGCCAUGUAUUUCCCCCAGUGUGCACCUCUUCAGUUUGGAGUUUGUUAUGCUUGGAAUGUCCGUCAAGCUCUUAAGCCCAUCAACUGCACCUCGGAUCUCCAAGUGCUGAACAUCUUUUGGGAGCAUGGCGGGGAGUUUAAGUCCAUCUCCUCUGACACAAAACCCAUGUAGCCUCACUGUUCUACUGAAAUUGGGAAGACUCCUAAGGAGAAGAUUUUUACCCGAAGGACCUUCAACUAACUCUAGUUCCCACUCCUUGGGACCGCCAACCUGUAAAUGUUCCACAUACGAGUCAUAGGUUUGGACAUCGCCAAACUUGCAACUCAGCUUCUCCAACUUGCUCAAACUCAUUAUUUCCCGAGCCUGUACUGUCAAGCUGUUGCGCUGACCCUUAAGAUAAAGGGUUUGCAGAUUAGAGAGUUCUGGCAGAAUUCCCAGAGGCAAUUGCUUUAGUCCUGAAGAGCAAAAAUCCAGGCAUCUUAAAUUCACCAAUUCCCGCAGCCCUUCAGGGACUUCUUCAAUCCCACUUUCAUAGAGAUCCAACGUUCUUAAUGCCUUCAGUUUUGCCAAUGAAGGCAUGUGCCGUAAAUUGCGACAAAAACGCAAUAACAAAUGCGUGAGGUUCACCAGGUUAGAGAUUGAGCUGGGCAACAUCUCAAUCAUCGUGUGGGAAAGGUCUAGAACUUGAAGGGUGGGAAUGCAACUAAAGAACGAACCAUCUAUGCUUUCCAAGGAGAAAUUAUCUCCCAUAUGAAGUUCCAAAAGUCGAGGCAGAGCCCAACUUUGCUGUCUCGCUGCUGGGAUUUCUUCUAUUGAAUUUUUAAUCAAGGACACUUUCUCCAAGUCCUUAACCCAUUCCUCCUGUGCCGGAAGUGUGCUCAAACCUAGCCCCGCUUUCACCAUGCAUCGAGAGCCCAGCAUUUUGAUUGCCAUGUCCCUAACUAAAUCAUGCAUCUUCAAAUAUUCGGACUUGUAAAUCCGUGAUCUUUCCAGCAAGCACACGUUGACUAAUUUAUUCACAAUGGUGUGACCCCUAUCAUACUGUGCUUCGAGACUUUUCAAGUCACUAAAGAAAUCGAGAUAAACAAGAUUUCGCAGCAAGUCUGCUGUCUCAAUUUUAAAAUCCUCAGGGUACAGUGUCAGAUGCAGGAAACACCGUUGCACGACCAGAUCAUUCAGGCGAAUGAAACUGAACUUUAAUAUUCUGAAUACCUUAUCUUCCAUGCCUUUUCCUUCAAACCUUGCUUCUUUCAACUCUUUCAGGGCACUUCUCCACUCGUGAAUUUCCUCCUUCCCUCGCAUACUUCCGGAAACCACCACGAUCCCAAGAGGCAAUCCUGCACACUCCUUUGCCACAGACUUCGCAACACUUUCUACUUCAGGAGUGAAAACAACUCUCCGUCCAAGAUUUUUUACAAACAGUUGCCAGGCUUCAUUUUCAGGAAGCGACUCUAACUUGAUCAGUUCAUCGCAUUCCAUCUGCCGACAUAUGUCCAAGGACCGAGUUGUUAGAAUUAACUUACAUGCAUCCACACCAAGCGGAAUUCCAAUCUCCUGCGGAUCAUAAGUGUGCCAUAGAUCAUCUAAAAUGAUGACAGUGCUUUCUCUCAUCAGUAAGUGUGACAAUUCAGCAGCCCGUUUGAGCUUAUCUUCCUUCUCUCUCAGGGCAUGGUUAAAACAUUCCGAUAUCAUUUGUUGCAACUUGAGAACAUCACGUUCUUGGGACACUGUCACCCAGAAUACUUUCCUCGAAGUGCUUGCCUCUUCUAGGAGACGGUUAUGGAUAUGGGUGACAAGGGUUGUUUUUCCAACUCCACCCAUACCAUAAAUGCCGAUGGUCAAUACGUCAUCUUCCAUCAAACGAGACAGCACUUUAUUUAGAUUUUGUCCGGAAGCCUCACCAACUAACUCCUUAGUCACCAACUCAUAUGCCCUGGUAUCUUCUUCGGCAUGUGUGAGCCCACCAGAAAAUCCACCUUGCUCUAUAAGUUCCUCCGCCUUCGUGGUCAAUUGGUUUAUUUGAUUCACCAAGCUUACCCGUUGACGAACUCCCCCUUCUGCAACUCGUGGUUCUAAUCCCGAGAUGUCGCCCCUUAAUCUCUGGACAUUUAUCUGCCAGUCCCCAACUUCUCUCUUCCUUUUUUGUCCGAGCCUUGAUUCUGCAUAUUGAACUUCCGUAAGGAUGUCAGAUUCCCUGCCAGUUAGUCUCUCCAGCUUUUGAUGAAGGUUAUCCAUCUUCCCACCAACAUUAGUGAAAGAACCGACCGUUCGAGCAAGACCAAUGCUCGCGCCCACCGUUUCCAUCGCUUCCUUAACCAUAUUCAGCUUGUCCAUUCCUGCAGCCUGAAAGGACAAAUUUACCCAUAUUCAGCUUAACCAUAUUCAGAUUGCUUUUGAAUGCAAUCUUUCUAUUGAGAUCAUAUCUACCGCAAACAACCCAAACAUAUGUCUUUUGUUUACCAAACUACGGUUUGCAUACCAUUUUUUCUUGGGAUAAAGAUAUAAAUGAUCCUUAAAUUUUCAAUUUAUUAAAUAUGAUCCCUGAACGUUAGCUUAGUGUUCAAUGUUGUCCUUAAAUUUUUAAUUUAAUAUAAUUCCUGAACUUUUGAUAUAUGUUCUAUGUAAUCCCUGAAUUAUAUUAAAAUAUUUAAAAUGGUCAUUUCAUUAAUUCAAGAUUAGGAACAAUAUUAAAUAUUCUCAUAUAGUCAAUAACUAAAUUGAACAAAUUAAAAAUUCAAAGAUCAAGUUGAAUAAAUUAAAAGUUUGAUAAUAAUUCUGUUCUCGAAAACAAUUUCUGUUAAGAAUGAUUUUUUUUGAUUUCUUUUCUAGACGAGUUUCUGAAUAUUUGAAGGUUUUCAGUAAGUAUCCAAAAUUCUACUCUUUAGAUAGAAUUGUGUUUGUUACGACCCUUAUGUGACUUAUAAAUUCUUUUAAUUUUCUAAUAAUUUUAUUACAUUUUCCUUCUUCUUUUUUUUCUUUUUUUCCCCCUACUUCUUCAUCCUUUAGUCGGUCGCCAACCUUCAUCAUGGCCGGCAACCGACUAGAUGAGGACCGGCGACCUCGUCGGAGCGUCAUUGACCCCAGAGAGGCCGAGCCUCGUUGGCCCGAGCCUCAACGACACAAGGUGAGGUCAACCUCAUCCAGUCACGAGCGAGCAAUGCCGGCCUCACGGUGGCUUGGUGAGGCUUGACCUUGCCAAAUCUUGGCAAGGCCGACCUCGUCUAGCCGCUGACCAUCACUGAGGCCAACCGACAAAAGGAAGAAAAGAAGAAAAGAAAAGAGAAAAAAAGAAAGUUAUCUUGAUUUUGAAGUUGCUUUCGGGAAAAUAAAAAAGCGAUUUUCUUUUUUAUUCUCUUCCAAAUCAAUUUUUGAAAACAAAAACUUACCAAAGGAUUUAAGUUCUAAUCUCGUACAUCAAAAAACUCGGACGACUCCAGUAGAUCAAGAACACAAGGAUGGAUCAACUCUGUCUAAAAGUUCAUAACGCUACUAGAAGGCAAACCCACCCAACCUCCGCUCAUUGAUUCACAAAUCAUGCGUGCAAAAGGAAGUGGGCUUCAGCUAUCUAAAGAAAGAAACGACGAGCGUACCUGAAGCCAGCCGCACCAAUACCUGUGGAAGAACUUCCGACGCGCAGGAUGCAAAGAGAGAAGACGGACGGUGAUACUGCUGUUCAAAUAAUAUAGAGAGAGCAACUGGAUGGGUUAGGGUUUUGGAGAAGCGGAAACUGCUUUAUGGCCUCGGAGGACUUUAUAAAACAGAGCAGUGACUUCAAGUCAACCAGCACAGUUUUCCUGAUCUAAAUUUCUUGCCAGGAAGGAAGGAAAGCGCUAGGAAGGAGACAAUGCGGCCAAAAAAAGUAGAAAGUAGCAGUCAGGCACGACAAACAUUAUUAGGGGAACCGAAAGAUUACUUUCAAAUGAAAAAUGUUUAAAUUAAUCAGGAAUACAACUUGGAUCCUUCGUGUUCAAUUACAGGUUUACCUGACCAGACGGCAGAGAGUUUGACCUCUCAUGUUGGGGCUGCCCGGCCUGCCUAGUUAUCUAGAUGAGCGGACACGACUACAUUUCUUAUACCUGCACAAUCAAAACCUCUCUAAUUCCCACCCGUAUAUUUUUUUUUCUUUGGAAAUACAAGGAGACAUUACGAGGUCUCUCAUCUCAAGGUGGAUCUCCUACCAGUUUUCUCCGCUUGAGCCUUUUAAAGACAUGUUCAGGGCCAAAACAUAACUUUCAAUUAAGAAAUGUUUAAAUUAAUCAAGAAACUCUUAAUUUGUCUUUUGGAAAAAAAAUGACAUAAAUUAUCUUAUAUAAUGUUAUCCUUGAACUUUUAACUUGUUUAAUAUAGUCCAAAACUAUUGGCAAAUGUUCAAUGUUAUCUUUUCGUUUGCUUAGAUGACAAAUCAUAUGUUAUUUGAUGACGAGGAUUAUUAUAUGCUAAGUUAGAUUUUUAAAAAUGGUGAGUUAACAUGUCCAUCUUCGGUAUCCAUCUAUGUUAGAAAAAGAAAACGACAAAUUAAUUAUUGUCAGUUGUUACGGCACAUGCCUUCAUUGGCAAAACUGAAGGCAUUAAGAACGUUGGAUCUCUAUGGCAGUGGAAUUGAAGAAGUGCCUGCCGGGCUGCAGGAAUUGGUGAAUUUAAGAUGCCUGGAUUUUGGCGUGUCAAGACUAAAGCAAUUGCCUCCUGGAAUUCUGCCAGAACUCUAACCUGCAAACCCUCUGUCUUGAGGGUCGGUGCAACAGCUUGACAGUACAGGUUCAGGAAAUAAUGAGUUUGAGCAAGUUGGAGAAGCUGAGUUGCGAGUUUGGCGAUGUCCAAAGCUAUGACUCGUACGUGAAACAUUUACAGGCCAGAGGUCCCAGAGAGUGGAAACUUAAGUUACUUGAAGGUCCUGGGGGUAUUGAUAAUGACAUCUUUGUGACUUUUCCCAUUUGCAGUAGAACAGUGAGGCUACAUGGGUGUUGUGUCAGAGGAGAUGGACCUACAUCCCCCCUCAUGCUCCCAAAAGAUGUUCAGCACUUGGAGAUCCGAGAUGCAGUUGAUGGGCUUAAGAGCUUAACGGACAUUCCAAGCAUAACAAACUCAAAGCUGACGAGGUGCACACUGGCGGGAAUACACAGCAUGAAGCAUGUGGUGUCAGUGUCACAAUCCUCAUCUUCUCCUCUUCCAAGCCUAGAGUUUCUCGAACUCAAUGGAUCUACAUGUGCUAGCUGAGGAAGAACUCUGUGCUGCUGCACCUGCAGUCCCAGGAGUGCUAUAUGAAGGUAACUAGUUUUGGGGUCUCAAGGUACUCUAUAUCUAUGAUUGUAAAAAAAUGAAGAGGCUCCUGACGCAUGUGUUGCUACCCGUCCUUGCCAACCUGGAGGAGCUUUCUAUCAAAUGGUGUGAUCAAAUGGAGGAGGUCAUAGCAAUGACCGAGCAACCAAGGUCUCAUCAGCAAGCCGUGCACGUAAGGUUUAAGGAGCGACUUGUCCCCGAUAUGGUCCCUCUCCACCCGUUUCCAGUUUCCACCAUCCCAUGUCAUUGUACUUGAUCUCUAUCCGUCGGACAUUAUGAGAUCCAGCGGAAAAAUGAUCAGAAGAUGGUGGUUCCCCAUCUCGAGGGAUGUAUACACGGAGCGGAAUCCUUUCCAUUUCGUGACACCCUUUGAGUGUCAUAUGCCCAAGAGAAUCACAGACUAUUGUGCUGCUACAUAUGCUUUUUAGGGCGUUUAAAUCCCUUGAUAUUAAAGUUUUUUAGCUUUGGGAGAGUAAAGCAGAAGUUGUCUCGUUUUCUCUCACUUUUAUGAGCUCCUCAACUUCGCUGCAGCAUUGCACAGAAAGUACCUCCAAGUUUGCGACAGCGGUGGCAGCACAUGCAUCACUGAUUUCGAGCAUUUUCAGACCGCAGAAGGUAUUACCUUUGGAUAGCGCCCGUGGAAAUGCAUUUGCACCAGCAAAGUUCUCUUCUACCUCCACCAGGAUACGGAGGUCCUCAAGUGAAUCUAGUCUUAGAAAGUCGAGGCUUCAAAGAGGGGUGUAUUUGUGUGGAAGGAAAUCCUUGGACUGCGGACCCACUUACUCCAAGGAUUUAACUCUCCCAAUGAUGCAGGCCUUCAUGUUGGUUACCUGGUGAAAUGUUGGGAUGCCCAUUAGGCUUCUCAGGUCAUCCUCCACAAACCUUUCAAUUAUCACCAAUUCAUGCCAUCCAUGAGCAACGCCACUUAAUCUCGCAAUUUUACCAUAAUCUUCCAUGCCUUCUCUUAGAGCCUCAUCAUUAUGAACGCAUCCAUCUCAAGUCCCAUUUCUUUGGACCUUUUUCAUCAUUCAGAUAUGCCGCAUAAGGAUUAAAUUCAUUUUCAUCAGCCAAAUUUGCAUUUUAAAGCUUCCAAGUUUCUCAUGCUCAUUAUCUCCCUUCCUUCCGCGUACAAUUUUCUUGUCAAGGUUGAGGUAUUGCAGAUGAGCAAGUUUCAGCAGAGCUCCAAGAGGCAGUUUCCUUAGUUCUGACCAUUCAAAUCAAAACUCUUAGAUUUACCAAUCUCUCUAACCCUUCAGGUGCAUCCCAGAUUCCACUUUCUCGCAGAUUUAAAGUUCUUAGCUCCUCCAUCUUUGCCACAGAGGGGACUGAUUCUAAAUCCCUGCACCCUCAGAGCAACAGUGCAAUGAGGUUCUUCAAGUUGGAUGUUGAACUUGGCAGCUACUUGAUAUUUGUCCAAGAUAGAUCGACUUCAAGGAAGUGUUAUUGCUCAAGCAAAGAAACUCGAGUUUAGGACACUUGGCCCUUACCCCUUCUGGGAUUACCUCAAUGAGAUUUCCCAUUAAGGGAACUCCCUCAAGAUUCUGUGUCCAUUUUGCCUCUUCAGGUAUCUCUUUCAAAUGCAACCCUGCUUUCACCAUAUAUCUGGAUCUCAUCAUGUUGAUUGCCAUGUCCCUGAGGAAGUCACGCAUCUUAUAUUCCUCGAUUUCUUGUCCAGAGAUGUUAGUGCGUUUAACACUUUCCAACAAGCAGACGUUUACGCAAUUUAUUCAGCAAUGCAUUUCCCCUAUUGUACUCCACUUCCCGACUUCUAUCGAAUAUCCAUGGAAUAUCAGAUGUGCUCACUUCUUUCAAUCACGUAAUCCUUAGGAUAUAAUGCCAUAUGCAGGAAACACCGUUGCGACAUCGCAUCAUUUCUCAGAACACCAAAAACCUUCUCUUCCAUGCAUUCUUCCCUGAAGUUUGCUUCUUUCGAUGCUUCUAAUGCAUUUCUCCACUCAUACACGUCCUUCAGCCCUCUCAUGCUUCCAGAAAUCACCACAAUCCCGAGAGGCAAAUCUCUGCAUUCCUGUGCUACAGACCUUGCUAUAUUUUAUAUUUCAGGUGGGAAGACUUUGGUGUGCCCUAGAUUCUUCAUGAGCAAGUGCCAAGAUUCAUUCUCGAUGAGAGUCUCCACUUCGACAGAAACUAGGCAUUCCAUCUGGUUACACACAUCCAGCUUCCCGGUUGUCAGGAUCAGUUACAGCCGCUCUCUUCUACUGGAAGUCUUACCUCUUUUAGAUCAUACAUACUCCAUAUAUCAUCCAAGAUGAGGACAAAUUUUUUUCCCCUCAGGAAGUUCGAUAGUCUUCCAGCUGGAUUAAUCCUAUCAUCCACAUUUGACAGAUCAAGAUUCAGACAUUUUCAAUCUUGUAUUGCAGCUCGUCAAGGCCACAUUUUUGGGAUGCAACCACCAAAAUGACCAUCUGAUUAGUGUUAUGCACCUUCAAAAGCUUAAUGUAGAUAUUGUCUUAUCAGAGUGCUCUUCCCAAAACCUCCCAUACCAAAAAUUCAUCCUUUUUCCUUCGUACAUUUCUCAGCCAAUUCUUAACUUCUCUCUUUCUUUUUCUUCCGAGAGUUGACUCCGCAUGUUCUACUUCCACAAUUAUCUCUGCUUCUCUACUAAUUAGACUCUCGAACUCGCUUUCAAGGAUGUGCAUCUUCCCAACAGGAUCACUAUAAUUGAUGAUGCAACCCCAGACAAUAUAAAAAUUACGAGCAAACCUGCUGCUUCAUCGAUGUAGAAUAUUGCAUCCUGUUACCUGAAAAGGACAAGUUUAGCGGUCUGACGUGGAAGAGAAAUUCUCUCUAUGGGUGAUUUCAAUGCUAUCUAUACCUUUUACUAAGCCAAAAAACAACUGAUAUUGAUUGGGAUAAAAUCUCCUGUAAUAUUUUAAGCUGAUGUACAUGCCAAACCUUCAUUAUAUCUGUUCUAGAUGAGCAAUUAGAUAAUAUUUUACCCGGCAAGAGAACAUAAAUCGAGUGAUAGUCUACGUCACUAAUAGUGCACUGCAUUGGGAAGAUAUCAGUCAGAACAACAGCCGAAUCAAGUCACAACUAAAUUUAAUGUGCUGUUUGAUACUGAGGAGAUCGUUUUGGACAAGUUUAAUUAACCAAGCACUCAGAAGCCUUUUGAGAGUGAAACAUACCAGUUAAAACCAAUUAGUUGAAUCAGACGUAGUGAACGGAAUUAUUAAACUCGAACCAGAUUCUUAGAAUCGGGAUUUCUUUCUUUUGAGCAUUAUAAAAUGUUGGGACUUUAUAUGUCAUUCGAUAGUGGCGGUGGAUUCAAUUUGGCUUUCUGACCCAAACUGAAACUAUGGAAAAGACACCAACGGAAAACAGAUGGUAUCCAUAAUGCUAAACCUUCCACACAAACUGAAGGUGUAUGCCUCGGAUUUCUACUGAUGUUUCUGGGCUGAGGGACAUGAACAUCAUCAAAACAUGCAAUAGUGUACAAAUAUUGCGAUUCAGGAGGUCUAUAUUUUCAAGAUUCUUUAUGCCUGGAUAAUCUGGAGAAUGAAGUUUUUCCUUUUUAAUAUGUUGGAUAUGGGGGAGCCGAGCUCUCGCAGGCCUGGUUGCAUCAGCUAUCUCUGAGUGUUCCAUGAGAUGCCCCUGUCACAUUAUAAACGAGAGCUGACAACAACAUAAAAACUACCUUCUUCUUUAACUCAAGGAAUCAUCAUGACUGGACAUAUUAUGUCAAGUAAUGAACAAAUUCGGAUGAUGAACUUCUGAGCAUAGAUUUAGCAAGUGUACCUCGACUCAGGCUUACUAAUUCCGGAGAAGAAGGGCCUGUAGGCUGUGGAGAAGCAAGCAAAAGCUUCUGUGGAUAUGAAAUGGCAUUUUCUUUUGUUUUCGGUCUGACCCACCAAGUAUCUAUUGAUCAGGAAACCUCGAUCAUAUCCAAAGGCUCGAUUUCCAGGAAAGAGAUAAAGCUGAAGAAAGCCAAUCCACUUGCUUCUAGGAUGUUGUUUGACUUGCCGGCCUUGCAAGAGAGAGUCAAUGAUCCCUUGGCUCUGUUAUACACUUGAUGUGACUAACUCAGGAAUUUUUCCUUGAAUUUUUUCCCAUCCUCUCCCUUCCUUUUCUUUCUUCAAUUGACCCGUGACUCGUCAGAGCGCAUGACCUCUCUGAAUUCCUUUCCUUCCUAAUCUCUUCUCUCUUCUCCAAUGUUUCGUGGAUCCUGUAACCACAUAAACGUUGCUAAGUGGGAUCAAAUGAAUUUUCUGUGAAAAUUAUUAACUUUUAACACGUGUGAGCUACUUAAUUUUAUACCGAUAAGUUAUUGAAGUAUUGCGAUCCAUUGGUUACAGGUAUUUUGUUGAAAGUGUUGCUGAUCUAACAAGUUCGUCAAAAUUUUGUUAAAAUGGGCCCUGAGAAUUGCAAGCUCUUCUCACUUUUUACUGGCACGGACGAUUCUUGUCCUAUUCAAUGGCAGAACUAUCCAAUAAUCUAUAUAACGAUUCAACUUGUGUCUCGUCAUGCCAUUGCUUUCGUUAUCCGUAUGCGAUGAUUACGCGCAUGUUUCAGGGACUGUUGAUAAUAAAGAGUCGAUCUUUUAUGGAGAAGGGAAAUAUUAUUUUUUUUAAUAAUAAAAUGUUUGAAUGUUUUGAUUAUGCAAUAGAUAUAGAUGACGGUGUUUUAGUCUUACAUCGUACCCCACGAGCAGUGAAUAAUCGCCAGAGAACCAGAAAUACGUGUAAGCAUAGGCUUCUCGAGUGUUUUUAAAAAGUGAUUUUUAAAAGCUCUCAUUACUUAUUAGGUAUUAUAAAACCUUUGACCGCAAAAAAAAAAAGAAAAAAAAAAGGAGGCACUGAUAAACCACUCUGAAAACGAAAAGACCAAAAGAAAAAACGAAAAUGAAGGGAAAAUGAACUCGAAGAUGGAGUGAAGGUGAAGCGACGACUCCGACGGCAGACGUGAUUUUCGAGGUGGUACGUUCGGACCCCGGGGUUUUGGGUCUUCAGUUGGUGACUGGGACGCGAUGUUUGAACGUGUUGGAUUUCGGCAAACGUGAAUUUAAAGUUCGUCAAUGAAUGCGGCGAAACAGUCGAACGAAUGUGCUCGCCACCUGGUGAAGGAAAGUAUCGACAGGCACGAAAUGGGUAAGCUGUAGAUGAUUCUAGCUGCGAUGGAUCAGGAAGUGGAGCUCAAAAGACGGACGAGGAGUCAAAGGGUUAACAGAUCAUACUCUGUCAUGAACCUUACGUUCUUACAUUAGAUGCGAAAGUGAAGAACCUAGAGGGAAAAAAUCAUGUGUCCAUAUAUAUAAAUUCACUUCUGAGCACCAACCUCUCCGAGUCGACAACAGCAAGCAGAGGAACUGAUAGCUUGCAGCAACGGAGAACACAUGACACGCAGCACCAUGUUCUCCCGAGCCAAGUUACUGCGGUAGCACGCUUCCAAUUCACAACGUCAUCUGUAUCGGACAUAAGGCCGAAGGAGGGACUUGUCCACGGGACUGUCCCAAUUCACUGACUCCCACCAUUCCUUCUCAUCUUUCCCAACAUGAAUUGCCCGAAGACAAUUAUCCUUGCCACCGGGUAGUUCACCGUCAUGAGGGAGGCCUACAUGAAGUGCUAUCCUCUCUAGCUUCUUGCAUUGUUGUAGUGUUACAUAUUGGAGAGAAUUACACAUUAUCGUCUUCGUACAAAUGCUUUUCAGUGCCUUAAGAUCCCUUAAACAUAAGGUCCUUAACUUGGGGAGGCUUAGAGUGGAAGUAAGAUCAUCGGCUUUGGUCACUGCUAUGACCUCCUCCAUUGCUUCACAUUCUUGAAUGUGAAGAUUUUCUAGGUUUGCGAGGAGGGACAGGAGCGUGUCCGUCAGAAGGUUCUUCAUUUUGCAGCACUUGUAGAUGUAGACUGUUUUAAGACCCCAAAAGCCUUCACCUUCAGAGAUCCACCCUGGCAAAGGCCCGGCAGCAGCAGCGGCAGCAGCAGCCGCCUCGACUAGAGCACGCAGGUCAUCUAACGCAUCCAAUUUCAGAUACUCAAGGCUUUGCAGAGGAGCGUAAUAGUCUGCAGGAGAACUCGAGGACAAUAGCACCAAAUGCUCCAUCCCAGGAAUUCUCUUUAGCCCACAUACCCUCAACUUACAGUCUGCGAUGCUUGGAAUGUCCAUCAAGCUUCUCAUGCCAUCAAAAGGGUCUUUGAUGCUCAAACACUCUAUGCCUUUCGGGAACAGAGGAAGCUCUUCACCUCCUCCUUCCUUGAUAUGACAGGCGCCCAGCCUCACAGUUUUACUGCAGAUCGGAGGACCAAAUACCCUGGAGGCAUUCUCCUCUUUGUAUAUAAUUGGCAUUAUUAGUUCCCACUGCUUGGGACCGCCAUCCCCAUCCCGUAGCUUUAGAUAUUCCACAUAUGCAUUGUAUUCUCUGAUAUCCUUAAACCUGCACCUCACUUUCUCCAACCUUUUCAGACUGAUUAAUUCCCUCGCAUUCUUCACUGCCAAGCUCUUGUCUGCACUCUUAAGAUCAAGGUGUUUCAGAUGAGAGAGUUUGGGCAGAAUUCCAUUGGGCAUUUCUUUUAGUUUCGAAUAGCCAGCAUCGAAGGUUCUUAAAUUCACCAGUCCCUCGAGUCCUGCAGGAGCUUUCUUAAUAGCACUCCAAGAUAGGUCCAAUGUCCUUAACGCCUUUAGCUUCACCAAUGAAGGCACGUACCUCAGUUUCUCACAUUUAUGCAGCAGUAAUGCACUGAGGUUAUGCAAGUCAGAGAUCGAACUGGGCAAUGUCUCAAUCCCCGUAUAAGACAGGUUCAGAACCUGUAGAGCUGGCAUGCGGCUUAAGAACGAAUAAUGGAUCUCUUUCAAGAAGUAAUUAUUAUUCAUGAGGAGUACCAACAGCCGAGGACAACUUGGUGAUAUCCCUGCUGGUAUCUCCUUUAUCCAAUUAUGCAUCAAAGAUACUCUCUCUAAGCCCUCUCUCCAUUCUUCCUCAGCUGGCAGUUCUCGCAAGCCCAGUCCGGCUUUUAUCAUGAAUUGGGAGCGCACCAUACUUAUAGCCAUGUCCCUAAAUAAAUCAUGAAUCUUCAAAUAGUCACGCUCAUAAUAAGCAUGGGAUAUUUGAAUUCUUUCAAGAAGGCACGCGUUGACUAAUUUAUUGAUGAUGGUGUAAACCAUAUCAUACUCCUCUUCCCAACUUUUGGAGUCGCUUAGCAAUCCGACCAUGAGAAAAUCUCGUAUCAAGUUCUCUCUCGAUAUUCGGUGAUCCUCAGGGUAUAAUGCAAGAUGUAGGAAACACUGCUGCAGCGUCGGAUCAUUCAGACGUGUAUAACUGAACUUUAAAAUUCUAAAUACCUUCUCCUCCAUACAGUCUCCACUAAAUCUCGCUUCUCUUAACUCAUAUAGCGCAUUUCUCCACUCCUCGAUGUCCGUCAUUCCUCUCAUGCUUCCUGAAAUCACCAUGAUCCCCAAAGGCAACCCCCCACAUUCAUCUGCAACAGAUCGUGCGACACUUUCCACUCCCGGAUAGAAGACAAUCGGGUGUUUGAGAUUCCUCACAAACAGGUUCCAGGCUUCAUCCGCAGGAAGAGGCUCCAAUCUGAUCACUUCAUCGCACAGCAUUUGCUUACACACAUUUAAGGAUCGACUUGUUAGAAUUAGCUUGCAUCUGUCAAAGCCAAGCUGAAUUCCCACAUCUUCUAGACUAUACGAGCACCAUAAGUCAUCCAGAAUGAGGACAUGUCUUUCUCUUUUCAGAUAGUGUGACAGUUCAGCUGCCCGUUGAAUCUGAUCAUCGAUAUUUGACAGGGUACGGUCAAGACAUUUGGCUAUCUUAUCCUGCAACAUAUGAAUGCUGCACUCUUGGGAAACUGUAACCCAAAGGACCUUCCCAUUGGUGGUUUCCUUUAGUAGAUGAUUGUGGAUGUGGGUGACGAGGGUUGUUUUCCCGACACCCCCCAUUCCAAAAAUGCCGAUUUUCAACACUUUGUCAUCUCUCAGGCGAGAUAAUACCUUACUCAGAUGCUUCUGAAAAGCAUCCCUUGAUAAUUCUACCGUUGGAAGCUCAUAUCCAUUGUUAUCCUCUGCGAUGAGUGUGAGUCCACAAGUGAAUUCACCUUGCUUUCGAAGUUCAUCCACCUGUUUGAUCAACUGUUUCACACCAUUUACUAAGUUAAAGUAUGAAUACCAUCUUCUGGCUGCAACUUCUCGCUCUAAGCGCGACGCUUUGGCUUUUGUCCUUUCCACUUGUUCUAACCAGUCGUCAACAUCUCUCUUCCUCUUCCUUCCGAGCUUAGAUUCUUCAUUUUUUACUUGUGAAACUACGUCAUCUUCCUUGCGGGUUAACUUCUCCAGUUCGCGGAGAAGUGUUUGCGUCUUCUGUUCAAGACCAGUGUAAUCUUUUAUGAGCUGAGCAAUGCCAAGUAUCAUCGACAGGUCCAUCCCUAACACGGCGAAAGUGCAACUUGUAAGUCAACCUCUACCAUUUUCCUUCCAUCCCUUACCACUACCCCAAACAACUCCAAUCACUUUGCCCUAAGAUAUUGCUAGAAAAAGUUCUGGAAUGUUAUAUCUACACAACAAUAUGUUCACACACAAACGCAUAAUCCUGACUUCCAAAAUUAUAGGUUAGCAAAUGCGGUGCCUGCAUUUCUCUCUUUCAAGUUCCAAAAUAAAAGGAGAUAUGAGACUCCAAAAACUUACUGUUGCGAUUGCUUCUCUACGGACAGCUGCACAUCAUAGAACCUGAUUGUUGUUGUAUCUUAUGGGAACGAGUUUUUCUUCUGUACUUUACACUUCAAACUGACAAUUGUUCACCAAUCAUAGGCGAAAAAAGGAAAAAGAAAAAAAAAAACAAAAGAAGCACUUUUCACAGGACCAAACAUAAUCAUACCAAGGAACAUGAGAAUGCACGCAAAUUUUCCCAGAAAAGUUAAAGGAUGGUUGACCAAUUCACCGUUUCUGCUGAAUCUCAAGGGCAAAGGUACAUCAAGGAUCAUCAUCACUUUAGACAUGUUUCCUCAAUCUCCAAAAAGAAUCAAACAAAAAAUAGGACGAAAGAUGGAAACCGUUCGAUUGGAUCAUUGUAUAUUUUGAUAAAACUCAAUAUGUGACGAAAUUGGACAUUUCAGAGAAACACGAGAGAACGAGCAAGUGUACCUUGAGCGAAGUCAAAGUGGACUAAAGAAGCUGCUGCACUUGCAAAAAAAAUUCUAGAGAGAGAAGCUUUGAGUUAUGGCGGAGAAAACAUCAUUUUGUGGUGACAUCAUACGAGUAAACGAAGCAGACACAAGAUUUUCAAUGUACGAGGAUAGGCAGAAAUUAUAGAGAGCUAGGAGGACUAAAGUAUGUCCACUUGUACUAUUUAAUUGCUGUGCCACCUUUCCGUUCGGAAAUUGCAUGCACCAUCAUUCUUUGAACCAGGUCAAGCCAUUUUCUCCAUGUAAUAUUAAAAUGCGGAUGCGCGCAUGACUUGAUCAUCACUUCCACUGACGGAUUGGGGAAAGUUUGAGCCUUGAAUCCGAUUAAAUGGUCCCAAAAUUGACGAUGUUUCGCCUAUGUCGUGCUGGAUCAGUUUUUUCUUAAUUCACUCGGCAAGCGAUGAAUUAAAUUUUAGUGGGGGAAACUGCACCUUGUUCUUUCGAAUGUUUUCAUUCUGGUCCCCAUUCUUUCAUUUGCUUACGAUUUCGUCUCCACAAAAUUUAUAAAUAAAACCCUGCCAGAAUGAGAAUGUGGUAUCACAUUUUACUAAGCCAAAAAACAACUGAUAUUGAUUGGGAUAAAAUUCCCGUUCUCCCGAAGAGUUUACUUGAAGCUGAUGUACAUGCCGAACCUUCAUUAUAUCGGUUCUAGAUAAGCAAUUAGAUAAUAUUUUACCUGGCAAGAGAACAUAAAACAAGCGAUAGUCUCCGUCACCAAUAGUGCACCUCAUUGGGAAGACAUCAGAACUGAAUUUAAUGUGCUGUUAGUGUUUGACACCAAGGAGAACAUUUUGGACCAGUUUAAUUAACUAAUCACUCAGAAGCCUUUCGAGAAAUAUAUCAGUUAAAGCCACUUAACUGACUCAGACAUAGUGAACAGAAUUUGUGCACUCAAAGCAGAUUCGUAGAAUUAGGAUUUCUUUCUUUUGAGCAUCAUAAAAGGUAAGGACUAUAAAAUGUCAUUUGAUAGCGGCGUUGGAUUCAGUUUGGUUUUCUGACCCAAAUUGAAACUAUGGAAAAGACACAACGGAAAACAGAUCAUAGCCAUAAUGUUAAACAUACAAACUGAAGGUUUAUGUUGCAGAUUUCUACUCAUGUUUCUGAGCUGAGGGACAUGAAGGAUCACCAUCAAAACAUGCAUUAAUCUCGUGUACACAAAUAUUGCCAUUCAGGAGGUCAAUAUUCUCAAGAUUCUUUAUGCCUGGAUAAUCGGCAGAAUGAACUUUUUCCCUCUAAAUUUGUCAGAUAUAGGGGAGCCAAGCUCAUGUAGGCCUGAUUGCAUAAACUAUCUCCGAGUGUUCCGUGAGAUGCCCCGGUCACUUCAUAAACGAGAGCUAAUGACAAUAUAAAAACUACCUUCUUCUUUAACUCAAGGAAUCGUUACAUACAUAUUAUGUCAAGUAAUGAACAAAUUCGGAUGAUGAACUUCUGAACAUAGAUUUAGCAAGUGUCCCUCGACUCAGGCUUACUAAUUCCAGAGAAGAAGGGCCUGUAGGCUGUGGAGAAGCAAACAAAAGCUUCUGUUUUGUUUCUGGUUUGACCCACCAUAUAUCUAUUGAUCAGGAAAAUUCAUCACAUCCAAAGGCUCAACUUCCAGGAAAGAGAUCAACCUGAAGAAAUCCCAAUAUAUCCAUUAAUACAGCUACCCACCUAGCCAAUCCACUUGCUUCUUGGAUGUUGUUUGACUUGCCGGCCCUGCAAGACGGAGUCAAUGAUCCUUUGGCUCUUCAUUUAUCACCUAUACUUGAUGUGAAUAACUCAGGAUUUUUUCUCCGACUUUUCCCAUCCCCUCCCUCCCUUUUCUUUCUCGAACUAACCCAUGACGCAUCAGAGCGUACGACCUCUCUGAAUUUCUUUCCUUCCUAAUCUCUUCUCUCUUCUCCAAUGUUUCUUGGAUCCUGUAAUCAAAUAAACAUUGCUGAGUGAAAUCGAAUGGAUUUUCUGUAAAAAUUAUUACCUUUUAACUCACUUAUGAGCUACUUAAUACCGAUAAGUUAUUGAAGUAAUGAAGUAAUUUAAAACGAUCCGUUGGUUGUGGGUAUUUUGUUGAAGGUGUUGCUGAUUUAACAGUUGUUCGUCAAACUUUCCUUAACAACAGGCCUUGAGAAUCGCAAGCUCUUCAAACAUUUAACUGGCACGGAACGGCGCUUUGAUUCUUGCCCUAUUCAAUGAUAGAACUGUCCAAUAAUCUAUAUAUUGAUUCGACUUGUGUCUCGUCACGCCAUUGCUUUUCUUCUCCGGAUGUGAUGAUUAUGCGCAUGUCUCAAAGGGACUCCUGAUAACAAAGAGUUAAUCUUUGAUGGAGAAGGGAAGCAUUUGUUUUGUGGGUAUUUAAGUCACUACGUCGUGCGGUGAAAUUUACUUGUUUGGAGGUUUCUGUACAAGAAGGUACCAUGAAGAGGUGCUUCACCACGUCCCCAAAAAGCGGCAUCAUAAUCCGUGACUAACUUUCCAUGGCAUCACUUGGAUCUCUCCGGCUGCUAGUCUUAUUACUCAUCUCUUUACAUUCUUCUAGUUGAUUUUUCUGUUCCUUCUUUUUUUUUUUGUAUAAAAACAUUUCUGCGGCUUAGGGAUAUGACAUAUAUUGUUCGGUGAAUUUGCACAUCGAGGAGAAAUUUGAGCUGAUAAUCCUCAAUGACUCGAAAGCUUAGCUGCGAUGGAUAUCCAAAUUGUGAUACGAGUUCGUGCAAUGAAUGCGGCCAAAUGAAUGUGCACGCCACUUGGUGAAGGAAAGUAUUUGACAGGCGGAAAUGGGUAAGCUGUAGAUGAUUCUAGCUGUGAAUGUGAUGGAACAGGAAGUGGAGCUCUAAAGACAGACGAGGAGUCAAAGGUGAACAGAUCAUUCUCUGACACAAACCAUACGUCUUACAUUAGAUACAAAACUGAAGAACCUACAGGGAAAAAAUCAUGUGUCCAGAUAUAUAAAUUCACUUCUGAGCACCAACCUCUCCGAGUCGAGAACAGCAAGCAGAGGAACUGAUAGCUUGCAGCAAUGGAGAGCACGUGACACACAGCACCACGUCCUCCCGAGCCAAGUUACUGCAGUAGCACGCUUCCAAUUCACAGCGUCAUCUGUAUCGGACAUAAGGCCGAAGGAGGGACUUGUCCAGGGGACUGUCCCACUUCACUGACUCCCACCAUUCCUUCUCAUCUUUCCCAACAUGAAUUGCCCGAAGAGAAUUAUCCUUGCCACCAGGUAGUUCACCG
rnacentral:lncRNA from 1 species